GGUUUUCGGUAUACCAGCUACAUAUAGUUGAUCCUGGAUCAGGAAGUCGUACGCGUGCUCCAUGAUGUUUGAGCCUGACGCAUGAGUAACACGUGGGUAACCUGCCUGUAAGACUGGGAUAACUCCGGGAAACCGGGGCUAAUACCGGAUGGUUGUUUGAACCGCAUGGUUCAAACAUAAAAGGUGGCUUCGGCUACCACUUACAGAUGGACCCGCGGCGCAUUAGCUAGUUGGUGAGGUAACGGCUCACCAAGGCGACGAUGCGUAGCCGACCUGAGAGGGUGAUCGGCCACACUGGGACUGAGACACGGCCCAGACUCAUACGGGAGGCAGCAGUAGGGAAUCUUCCGCAAUGGACGAAAGUCUGACGGAGCAACGCCGCGUGAGUGAUGAAGGUUUUCGGAUCGUAAAGCUCUGUUGUUAGGGAAGAACAAGUACCGUUCGAAUAGGGCGGUACCUUGACGGUACCUAACCAGAAAGCCACGGCUAACUACGUGCCAGCAGCCGCGGUAAUACGUAGGUGGCAAGCGUUGUCCGGAAUUAUUGGGCGUAAAGGGCUCGCAGGCGGUUUCUUAAGUCUGAUGUGAAAGCCCCCCGGCUCAACCGGGGAGGGUCAUUGGAAACUGGGGAACUUGAGUGCAGAAGAGGAGAGUGGAAUUCCACGUGUAGCGGUGAAAUGCGUAGAGAUGUGGAGGAACACCAGUGGCGAAGGCGACUCUUGGUCUGUAACUGACGCUGAGGAGCGAAAGCGUGGGGAGCGAACAGGAUUAGAUACCCUGGUAGUCCACGCCGUAAACGAUGAGUGCUAAGUGUUAGGGGGUUUCCGCCCCUUAGUGCUGCAGCUAACGCAUUAAGCACUCCGCUGGGGAGUACGGUCGCAAGACUGAAACUCAAAGGAAUUGACGGGGGCCCGCACAAGCGGUGAGCAUUGUGUUUUAAUUCGAAGCAACGCGAAGACCUUACCAGGUCUUUGACAUCCUCUGAACAUCUAGAAGAUAGACGUCCCCCUCGGGGCAGAAUGGACAGGUGUGCAUGUGUCCGUCAGCUCGUGUCGGGAGAAUGUGGAUAGUCCCGCAACGAGCGCCACCCUGAAUCUAGUUGCAGCAUCCAGGUGGGCACCUCUAAGGUACUGCUGUGACACGCAAAGUGAUGACUCAAAUCAUCAUGGCCCUUACGGACCUGGCUCAUACCAUCGU
rnacentral:rRNA from 1 species